GAUGAACGCUGGCGGCGUGCCUAAUACAUGCAAGUCGAGCGAACAGAUAAGGCGCUUGCUCCUUUGACGUUAGCGGCGGACGGGUGAGUAACACGUGGGUAACCUACCUAUAAGACUGGAAUAACUCCGGGAAACCGGGGCUAAUGCCGGAUAAGAUUUAGAACCGCAUGGUUCUAAAGAGAAAGCUGGUUUUGCUAUCACUUAUAGAUGGACCCGGGCCGUAUUAGCUAGUUGGUAAGGUAACGGCUUACCAAGGCAACGAUCCGUAGCCGACCUGAGAGGAUGAUCAGCCACACUGGAACUGAGACACGGUCCAGACUCCUACGGGAGGCAGCAGUAGGGAAUCUUCCGCAAUGGGCGAAAGCCUGACGGAGCAACGCCGCGUGAGUGAUGAAGGUCUUCGGAUCGUAAAACUCUGUUAGUAGGGAAGAACAAAUGUGAAAUAAACUGUUCACGUCUUGACGGUACCUAAACAGAAAGCCACGGCUAACUACGUG
rnacentral:rRNA from 1 species